ACAGGAGAUCCGCUCACUCUGUGAUUGAUAGAUCUGGAGCAUUCUUGCAAGGAAGAGCGGGAUAAAACGACUAAACGAAGAUGUGCGAAGUCGAGAGACUCUUUCCAGAAAAACACUGAGUGCCGAAUUACAAGCAAAAACUAAGUGUUAGUUAAGGGGUGUGUAUACUUAUGCAACCAGGAUAUUGCAAGGUUUUUCUUCUUUUUUUUUCUUUUCCCCCUAUUUGUCUUUCACUUUAAUGUUGUUGAGGUGGCAAAGUGUCUGUGUGUGUGUGUGUGUGUGUGUGUGUGUGUGUGUGUGUGUGUGUGUGUGUGUGAUGCUGCCAGUCACAGUAGCAGAUAUAGUGUAUGCUAAUGCGUACGUCCCCUGCGGACGUGUAAGUAAAUCCUGCGUGUGUGUAAUGAAUUGAUGGUUUUAUUAGAGGCUCUUUUUGUUAUCCGAGCUCUGAAAAGGAAAAAGGAUCCGCUACAAGGGAAAAGGAACACUGCGGAAUAUCGAUCCCGCCCCGCUCCGCCGCCCGCCAGAGACGAUCCAUAAUGCAUUAAGCACUUGAGCUUCAGAGACGGCGAGAUGCACAGCGUCAUCCGACAGACGCGGCGUCUCUGUCCUAUGUCCUCUCAAACACACACACACACACACACACACACACACACACACACACGGGACAGUAAAACGUUUUGUUCCGGUAUUAAAUACGCCACCUGUGUGGUUAUCUUACCCACAGUAAUGCCGUUCAGUUCUAUUCACUACAUGUGCUCACUACAUAGGGUGUAACUUAAUAGCAUUAUACACCCUACCUAGCACACGAUACGGUGUACAUGUGAUUCUUAAAUCGGUAAGUGCUAUUUCUGUUUCGACGUGACGUUCUGUUUUCGUUACGAAUAAAGUAUUGGCGCCCUCGGUGUUGUUUGGGUCGCUUUCCACCGUCGAAAGAAACUCACGGUGACUCGUGCGUGAUAUUUCACCCCGGCUGGGACACGCCCGUUUUAGCGUCAAUCGCCCCUGGUGCUCUUCCAGCAGUUCUGCUCGUGGUUGAUCUGUGUACUCCAACGAGGUCCCCAUCCACCAUUUGGAAACAAUCAGUAGCGUAAAAGCGCAAGGCUAUUAAAAGCUGGAGCACGGGGUGGUACGGCUGCGUUUCGGGCACUGCCACGUCUAAUUGCGGGUUCACCUUUUUAAUUUAAUCUAAUCACAGGUUCCUUGCUGAGUCGGUUCCUGUUCAGCACCAUCCUAAAACUCGAGAGGGUUGAGACGGUCCCUCUUUCACUUUCUCCAAGCCACCAAAUAAGUGCUGCCAUUUUGACAGUUUAAACCUCCUCAGUAGCAAGUUUACAUUUAAUCCCUGACGGAAAUUUAAAUCUGAGUCUAAAGUGAUGGAGCAGCAAGAUUACAGCUAAUCCAGGUUUAUUGUGAAAUUAAAUCCAGGAUUAAAUGGAUGGUUUAAAUGUAAGCAAGGUUUAAAGUUUGAUGUAACAGAAUUAUUAGAUAAACCUCGAUUUAAUCUGGAUUUAAGCUUCAUCCUUAUUGGUCACCUCGCCAUAAUAAAUGUUUUAUUCACUGCAGUUCGUUCUGCAGGAGCGAUCGUACACGACUUUUCCAGCUCACACAAGAGAGAAGUUUUUAAUGUGCAAAUGUGAAGCGUGUGUAAAAACAAACCGGCGGAGGGAAAGCCCGGUGUAACGUGUGUGUGUGCGUGUGUGUGUGUGCGCGUGUGGUGGUGGUGUUGUCGUCUGAGCUGCGCUGGAUUUUAGCCAAUGUAAAAACAAGGCCUCACAUGCUGUAGAUGUACUACAAAAGGUGUGUAAUGGGUGAUACGGUGACGUUUUCUGUAAGGAGUCUCCAGUGUCAGCGCGGCGUAACAGGCAGAGGUAAAGCCGGAGUUUUUCUGACGUCUUCAGGACAGAGGAGUGUAAUUAUGCUAACAGUCAGAGGUUAGGUCUUAAUGUCUUAGAGUCUUGUUGUCUUGGAGUCUUGGAUUCUUGGAGUCUUGGUGUCUUGGAUUCUUGGUGUCUUGUUGUCUUGGAUUAUUGGAGACUUGGAGUCUUGUUGUCUUGGAGUCUUGGAGUCUUGGAUUCUUGGAGUCUUUGAGUCUUGGAGUCUUGUUGUCUUGGAGUCUUGGAGUCUUGGAGUCUUGGUGUUUUGUAGUCUUGGAGUCUUGGAGUCUUGGUGUUUUGUAGUCUUGGAGUCUUGGAGUCUUGGUGUCUUGUUGUCUUGGAGUCUUGGAGUCUUGGUGUUUUGUAGUCUUGUUGUCUUGGAGUCUUGGUGUCUUGUUGACUUGUUGUCUUGGAAUCUUGGAGUCUUGGUGUUUUGUAGUUUUGUUGUCUUGGAGUCUUGGUGUGGUAUCAGAGGAGUAAAACCCUUCAGGGCGUGCUGUUACAGGAAAAGAAUCAACAUGAGUAACUCCGCUUCAUCACACCACCCUGUCAUCGAUUAUUUUAUUCCUUACUUACCAUAAAGACUUUUAAUAUAAGAUUUAUAUAAGAGUUGGUCAAAAUAUUGUUCAUUGGGAAAACACACACACACACACACACACACACACACACACACACACACACACACACACACACCAUUGCUUCUGUUUUUUCCUCAUUUUCUUUGCACAAGCACUUUAAUGGGAGCUUAAGAUCAUAAACGUGUGUGUGUGUGUGUGUCUUGUCAGGGGUUACACACAGCAGAAAUUGUUAAUGGCUGCUCUCUGGAGACUCCAUUCAUCUGCUGUGUGUGUGUGUGUGUGUGUGUGUGUGUGUGUGUGUGUGUGUGUGUGUGUGUGUGUGUGUGUGUGUAAGAGCAGUAUUGUGGUUCUGUUCUGCUUCUGAUGAUGAGGCACGCAGCACAAACAUACAAUUCAUAAAACACACAGUUCAGUCUCAGUCCAGAGCUGCUGCGGGUGCUUCUGCGUUUGUGUGUGUGUGUGUGUGUGUGUGUGAGAGAGAGAGCCACUGCUUUAUGUUGUUACAAAGAUUGCAGCUUAAUUGACAGCUUGCCAUGACGGGGAAAUCAUGUGAUUUCUCAAAGCGCAUGUCAACAGGGCGGAAGAUGCGAGCGUUUGCCGGAAAGCGGCUUAAACUGGUUUUCUCGCUGCUGCUUAACGACCGUCUAUUGGCUUUCCAGUAUGUGUGUGUGUGUGUGUGUGUGUGUGUGUGUGUGUGUGUGUGUGUGUGUGUGUGCGCACGUGCUUAGAACAGGAGUUGGUGUAAAAUUAAAUUGGGGAAAAAAUAGACGACAGAAAUGAAAUAAAAGCUGUAAUAACUAUAUAACGUAGCUGUCGAAUGUGGGCAGGGCCUAAUAUUCUAAUGAGCGUGCUUGAUUGACAGCUCUCUGUCACAAGUUAUUUACAGAGUGAACAUCCGACCGAACGAUUAUAG
ensembl:lncRNA